rnacentral:tRNA from 1 species
UCCCUGGUGGCUCAGAUGGUAAAGCAUCUGCCUGUAAUGCAGGAGACCUGGGUUUGAUCCCUGGGUAGGGAA